rnacentral:rRNA from 1 species
UACAGAGGUCCCGAGCGUUGUUCGGAUUCACUGGGCGUAAAGGGUGCGUAGGUGGUGGGGUAAGUCGGAUGUGAAAUCUCGGAGCUCAACUCCGAAAUGGCAUUGGAAACUACCCUGCUGGAGGUUUGGAGGGGGGACUGGAAUUCUCGGUGUAGCAGUGAAAUGCGUAGAUAUCAAGUGGAACACCAGUGGCGAAGGCGAGUCUCUGGACAUUUCCUGACGCUGAGGCACGAAAGCCAGGGGAGCAAACGGG